rnacentral:rRNA from 1 species
CAGUAGCCGCGGUAAUACGGAGGGUGCAAGCGUUAAUCGGAAUUACUGGGCGUAAAGCGCACGCAGGCGGUCCGACAAGUCAGAUGUGAAAUCCCCGGGCUUAACCUGGGAACUGCAUUUGAAACUGUCAGGCUGGAGUCUUGUAGAGGGGGGUGGAAUUCCAGGUGUAGCGGUGAAAUGCGUAGAGAUCUGGAGGAAUACCGGUGGCGAAGGCGGCCCCCUGGACAAAGACUGACGCUCAGGUGCGAAAGCGUGGGGAGCAAACAGGAUUAGAUACCCGUGUAGUCCCUGUCUCUUAUAC